UUUAAAUAAAAAUGUAAAAAUAAACAUUGAAAAAAGGGGCUCAAAAAGGGGUGAGGAUGGAAGAGAGAGUUCAGGAUCUGAAGUUGUUGAACUCAAUAUUAAGACUGAAGAGGCCAUGUUGUUGAUAUAAAGAGCAAUUUCACCACCCCGUGACAGAAUAUCGCUAUUGCAACUCCGGGAGCAGCAUCUGUCAGAGCCCAGGGUUUGGCAGGAAGGGCUGUGUGUCUGAUACACUCUUUGAUAAGUGUUCUUUCACCUUAUAUAUAAAUAAUUUUGACUCUUGCCUGUCCAUCCUUACACCAGUUUCUUUCCUGUUUUUGACAGUGUCACCGUCAGCAGUGUUCCGGUGUUCAGCAGCAUGGAGAGGCCGGCAGUGCAGCGUUGGGGCUGGGUGGUGACAGCGGCUGUGGUGAUCUGUCUGUUCGUGUACACAAGCACAGAUUAUUGGGCCAGAUUUUGCUGAAGUCGGACUUCUCACAAUGUAUGUCAUAAGUGAGACAAGAAAUAGGAAUGACAGAGAUGGAUGGUGAAUUAGAACCAAAUCAGGAACACUUCUUCUUUUGAAAGAAUUUUCCUUAGGCCACCCGACUGAAUGUGGAGACAAUGGGAGGUAUUUCCAGAGUUGGUUGUCUCAGCUUUCAGAUGAGAUGGGUAAACUGAAGCUUGCUGUUUCAGGUGGAUAUAAAAGAUUCUGUGGCACCAUUCAAAGAAGAGCAGGUCCGGCCUAAAAUGAAGGGGGUAAUGCAUUUUGUUGCUAUCGGAUUGACCAUCAUCAGAACUGCAGUUGAACCUGCCUAGUAGCCGUCAUAACGAAUGAAUGUGCCUGGAGCAGUGUCUACGGAAGAGGGAUAUCCCGAGACCAGGAUCAACUUUGCUCUGCAGAAUAAGACAGUCCGAACCAACAAAGAAAAAAGAGAGGACUUAAAUUUGUAUUAUACAGGAAUGGAUGGGUUAACGUGCGCAGGAAAAUCUUUGGGUAUACCGAAGGGAACAGGAGUACAGUUUUCAUGCAACAAAGUUCUAGAGAUGACAUUGUCAGUAAUCCCAGAGGAAAAAAUUAUUAGUCAAUUUGUGGGUCCAUUUAUUGAGUGACCAUCGGGGAGCGACGGUCGAGGUAAAAUUAUGGUCCAUUGGGACCACACCUAUGUGAAUAUUGACUGGGGUAGCAACUCAUACCAGAGAUCUCCAUUCUGCCUGUUAACAGCCAGUCCUUUUUACAAUACGCCCUUGUGGGACCAACAUAUUACAUAGCUACAGCGGCUACAAACUAUAGCAAAGGAUGGAAACAGUGCCCUCUAGAAGGACACAAUGUGGCCAUUAACAAUGUGACCUUAGACCUGGUUAUCAGUGGACAAGUUCUGCCUAAGCCAAUAAUGAGGAUGGUAAUAAAUGAAAACCUUACAGUCCAACGUACCAAUAUAGACCAAGAUCUGUAGAAAUCCGUUCCUACGGAACUGCCACCUAUUCUGCACCUGACUGCGGAUUGGACACAAAUAGCGGAGAAAGCCAAUGAGAUAAUUCAUCAAUGGACUAAACAUACUAAAAUAAUUAGAACUCAUGCUGAUAAAGCAGAGGAACUGCUACGGGACCCCAAGUUCUGGGUUAAGUUUUGGAAUUGGGGAUCUAAUGUUCAAAUACAUCCAUGGGUCAGGAUUUUAUCACUUGCUGCUGUACUUGUGAUGAUAUGUGCUUUAAUGCUUGUCGUAUUCAACAUAUAUCAGCUUAGAAGGUGGAAAAUUGAAAUUUUGCACCGAUUGAAUGUUAGUGCUAUAAUGAAACAGAAGAAACGAUUAUCAGUAUAAGGAUACUGUGUGAAGAAUAUUUUAUAUACACUUCUCUUUUAUAUUUUUAUAUAACCAUAUAUCACGGAUGUUAUAUGUCCAUUGGGGUACAAUGACAACCUCAGGAGUGGUACACUGAAAAGGAGAAUAAUGAUCCUAAGAUAAGUAUCUUUGGAUCAGAAGGGGGGAGAUGUUGGCCAGGGGCUGCAGCUGAAUUGCUGACACAAGCAAAAGCAACUUUUGAUCUGAAGUAACCUGAGUCCAGUUACUGGCCUGAGCAACUUUUGAAACCUGACUCCAGUCACUGGUCUCAUCUGGCUGGAACCGGUUUUAAAGUAGCUGAGUGUCUUGAAGACAAAGGAAAUGUGAUGAGUCCUUAUUUAGAAAAGGAAGAAUGAGGUGAUAUUGCAGGUCUUGGAACAGAGCCAAUGAGAAUGUGCCACAGAUCAGGCAAGCAGGCCUAAACCAAUGGGAAAGAGAUAGCACAGCUUGAAGAGAUGAGAUUCAGUAUAAUAGUGGGAGGUUUUCGGGCAUGGGGCAGCAAGACUCCGGAGACCAACCAUCACAGAAGCAAAAGAACCUACAUCAGCAAUGUAGAGACACAAGAGAGAGAGAACGGAAUGAAUGCCUGGCCAGUGUCAGCUCUCCUUUUCGGGUAUUAGCUUUUAUAUUCUGUGACCACUCAGGGAGUGUCAGAGAAACCUAGUGGGUGUGCAUUUAGAUCCUAGUUUUGGGUAUAAAACUGUAUAACCUAUUGUAAACUGCAUGUCUAUAUUUGACCAGAUGUAUAAACCAAAUGUAGAUGAUCUAAAGACGUGAAUAAAGCGAUUUUAGAAUUAA